rnacentral:rRNA from 1 species
AUUGAACGCUGGCGGAAUGCUUUACACAUGCAAGUCGAACGGCAGCACGGACUUCGGUCUGGUGGCGAGUGGCGAACGGGUGAGUAAUGUAUCGGAACGUGCCCAGUCGUGGGGGAUAACGUAGUGAAAAUUACGCUAAUACCGCAUACGAUCUAUGGAUGAAAGCGGGGGAUCGCAAGACCUCGCGCGAUUGGAGCGGCCGAUAUCAGAUGAGGUAGUUGGUGGGGUAAAGGCCCACCAAGCCAACGAUCUGUAGCUGGUCUGAGAGGACGACCAGCCACACUGGAAAUGAGACACGGUCCAGACUCCUACGGGAGGCAGCAGUGGGGAAUUUUGGACAAUGGGCGAAAGCCUGAUCCAGCCAUUCCGCGUGCAGGAUGAAGGCCCUCGGGUUGUAAACUGCUUUUGUACAGAACGAAAAGGUUUCUACUAAUACUAGGAGCUCAUGACGGUACUGUAAGAAUAAGCACCGGCUAACUACGUGCCAGCCGCCGCGGUAA